AUUCUCUGAACCUUGAAAAAUCACUUCGGAGACGAACGAACUUUCCAUAAAUGCAAUACCCAUUCGCAUACUCUAAAAUACCAUGAUCAAACUCGCUAAAAUUCUAUUCUAUCAGGUUGCCACAAAUCACAUCCCCACCUCGAUUGAUCUUAAAAGAUAAAACAUUAUGAACUUCUGUGUUUCCAGGAAAACAAUUAUGUGAUCCUCCUUGCUUGAUCCUCGCUUCCUGAACUCCCUCUUUAAAAUUUUGUUCUUGCUCUGACUUCUUUCUAAAACUCAUUUUCUGAGUUGGGAGAGAAUGAGAGCUGGCCACCCCUUUUUAUAAGGUGUCGUAAACUUUCUCACCAAACUGGGUCAUCAUUGUUGUUUCCGUAUUUGAGCUGGUCAAGUCCAACCAUAAAUGUCUUGACUCAAUCUGUAUGCUUCCUUCCUUAUCUGACUCCCUC
rnacentral:lncRNA from 1 species